UACGAAGGGGGCUAGCGUUGUUCGGAAUUACUGGGCGUAAAGCGCAUGUAGGCGGCGAUUCAAGUCGGGGGUGAAAUCCUGGAGCUCAACUCCAGAACUGCCCUUCGAUACUGCAUUGCUGGAGUAUGGAAGAGGUAGGUGGAACUGCGAGUGUAGAGGUGAAAUUCGAUAGAUAUUCGCAAGAACACCAGUGGCGAAGGCGGCCUACUGGUCCAUCACUGACGCUGAGAUGCGAAAGCGUGGGGAGCAAACAGG
rnacentral:rRNA from 1 species